AAGACUAUGAACGAUGUAUUCUCACACAGGAACACCCACAAUGACUGGUAGCUGGGUCAGAAACCGGUUUGCGAAGCUGUCCUGGCCCCUACAGGAGAAACUUUGCCAGUCCCUGACUUAGAUGCUGAUUCUGCACAAACAAAGC
rnacentral:lncRNA from 1 species